rnacentral:rRNA from 1 species
AGUGAACGCUGGCGGUAGGCCUAACACAUGCAAGUCGAACGGCAGCACAGGAGAGCUUGCUCUCUGGGUGGCGAGUGGCGGACGGGUGAGGAAUACAUCGGAAUCUACUCUGUCGUGGGGGAUAACGUAGGGAAACUUACGCUAAUACCGCAUACGACCUACGGGUGAAAGCAGGGGAUCUUCGGACCUUGCGCGAUUGAAUGAGCCGAUGUCGGAUUAGCUAGUUGGCGGGGUAAAGGCCCACCAAGGCGACGAUCCGUAGCUGGUCUGAGAGGAUGAUCAGCCACACUGGAACUGAGACACGGUCCAGACUCCUACGGGAGGCAGCAGUGGGGAAUAUUGGACAAUGGGCGCAAGCCUGAUCCAGCCAUACCGCGUGGGUGAAGAAGGCCUUCGGGUUGUAAAGCCCUUUUGUUGGGAAAGAAAUCCAGCCGGCUAAUACCUGGUUGGGAUGACGGUACCCAAAGAAUAAGCACCGGCUAACUUCGUGCCAGCCGCCGCAGUAAAAC